GACGAACGCUGGCGGCGUGCUUAACACAUGCAAGUCGAGCGGUAAGGCCCUUUCGGGGGUACACGAGCGGCGAACGGGUGAGUAACACGUGGGUGACCUGCCCUCAGCUCUGGGAUAAGCCUGGGAAACCGGGUCUAAUACCGGAUAUGACUCCAUGACGCAUGUUGUGGGGUGGAAAGCCUUGUGCGGCUGAGGAUGGGCCCGCGGCCUAUCAGCUUGUUGGUGGGGUGAUGGCCUACCAAGGCGACGACGGGUAGCCGGCCUGAGAGGGCGACCGGCCACACUGGGACUGAGACACGGCCCAGACUCCUACGGGAGGCAGCAGUGGGGAAUCUUGCGCAAUGGCGAAAGCCUGACGCAGCGACGCCGCGUGA
rnacentral:rRNA from 1 species